UGUCAACUAGUUGUNGGNUGUAANUAAGUUUGGUAUCGNAGCUAACGCGUGAAGUUGACCUCUUGGGAAGUACUGUCGCAAGAUUAAAACUCAAAGGAAUUGACGGGGACCCGCACAAGCGGUGGAUUAUGUGGAUUAAUCCGAUGCAACGCGAAAAACCUUACCUAGCCUUGACAUGCUAGAAAAUAUUCAGAGAUGAAUUUGUGCUCGAAAGGGAAUCUAAACACAGGUGCUGCAUGGCUGUCGUCAGCUCGUGUCGUGAGAUGUUGGGUUAAGUCCCGCAACGAGCGCAACCCUUGUCAUUAAUUGCCAUCAUUUUUUUGGGCACUUUAAUGAGACUGCCGGUGACAAACCGGAGAAAGGUGGGGAUGACGUCAAGUCCUCAUGGCCCUUAUGGGUAGGGCUUCACACG
rnacentral:rRNA from 1 species